UACGGGGGGAGCAAGCGUUGUUCGGAAUUACUGGGCGUAAAGCGUGCGCAGGCGGUUGGUUAAGUCUGAUGUGAAAGCCCCGGGCUCAACUUGGGAAUGGCAUUGGAAACUGGCUGGCUAGAGUGUGGCAGAGGGGGGUGGAAUUCCGCGUGUAGCAGUGAAAUGCGCAGAUAUCGGGAGGAACACCGGUGGCGAAGGCGGUUCUCUGGGCCUUACCUGACACUGAGGAGCGAAAGCGUGGGGAGCGAACAGG
rnacentral:rRNA from 1 species